UAAAUAGGUACCGCUCUGGCAGGAAGGUAAACGGCAUUUCUGUGCACUGCUCUGGUUCGCCAGAAGCGGCUUAGUCAUGCUGGCCACAUGACCCGGAAGCUGUACGCCAGCUCCCUCGGCCAAUAAAGUGAGAUUAGCGCUGCAACCCCAGAGUUGGUCACGACUGGACCUAAUGGUCAGAGGUCCCUUUACCUUUUACCAAUGAAAUGCUGGAUAGGCAGGCAGAAGUAUAGGUCCAAAUCUCUCACGACUAGCACCCUCCUGCAAAUGAGAUGACUUCUCAGAAGCAUCACUAUGAACUAGUUACACAGAGUGACAAUAAUACAGAAGGUAUACAGGCCAAAGGCACAUACGACAACUGUUUCAACCUUGCAUUCUUAUGGUGACCACACCUGCCUCCCAGAGUUCUUUGCUCUCCUGCCUCCAUCAAACGAUGAGAUAAUACCAACCCAUUCAUGGCAUCAGGAAACGACUCUAAUAAACAUUUCAAAUGCUUUUAAAGUUACAUUGCAGGCAGCAACUAUUACAGGAAGCAACUAUUUUAGGCAUAUUUAAUUAUGUGCGCAAACUGUGCACGUGCAUCACACCGAACCUGGAAGUGACCCGGAAACAUCACAAAAAGAGGCGGAAUGGAGUGUUUGCAGGAUUUUUCAAUGGAGUUUCAAAUUUACGUGAUUUCACUUAAACACGCCAUGCCUUGGAACGUAACCCCUGUGUAAACUGUGGGUUGCCUGUAUUGCAAUGUAAUCUUGAAUAUAUCUAAGAGUGUAAAUUUGAACAUUGUAACCAUAGGAGCCAACUCCUAGGGGCCAAGGGGUAUUUGCCCCCUGCCAAUAAAACAUUUGAGAGGGCCGGAGGCUCCCAAAGUUGAAGGGCAUUGCCAUUCAAAUUGUCUCUGUGCACCGCGUCAUGUGAUCUGAUUAUGCAUGGCAGGGCUUACUUGCCUCCCCUAUUUUAUUUAAGUUGGUACCCCUGACUGCAACUGUGCUAUUAUAUUAAAAUCUGAAGUGGCAUGCCUGUUUUUUCAUGCCUCUUAUAGAACAUACACUUACUGUAGUGACCCAGCUCCUACCCCAAAUUUUAAAAGGUACAGUGGUAGGCUUCAAUAUGACAUGGAGAAUAAGGAUCUGUCCCCUUUUACAAUAUAGUUCCACAGGGAAAAUCAGCCACAUUAAUCUUGAACGAUUCUUUGUGUCCUUUGGAGACUCCUUAAGAGAAGGAUAAAUAUUGACUUUGAAAAUGCUCAUGGGGAAAAAAUGUCAUUUAUUAACAUAGUUUCUGACUUUAUUCUCUGCAUCGUUUUUCUUCCCUGUCAGAACUGUUGACAAAAAUGUCAAGAACUGCAAUUGUACAGGAUAACACUUAACAGGAGGAAACGCUUUAGUAAUCUGAGAUGACUUCUGGAUUAUCCAUCUUGUUCACUUUGCUCUUCUAUAAACCCCAUUUGUUGACCAUUAUAAUCCUAACCAGCAUGUAAUCCUUAGAAAAUUUGGCAUACGGUAAGUUACAUGGCUGUAGAAAGCAAGGGCUUGAGAGUUCACAACCACCAUAUUGGUUCUCAGGGUUGGGAAACAGCUAGUCUGCAGGGCACAUGCAGCCUGUAAAGGAUCCAAACAUGGCAUUCAAACCAUGAAAAAAAAAAGAUUUGGCUUCUAAAACAACUGUUUUUAGAUUAUGAGUAUGCUCUUUGGAAUUAUAACACUUGAAACGUAGUUAGCUAUGGAUACGACCCAACACCAAAACAGCAGCUAGCCCAAACAAAUCAAGACACAUACACACCAGUCAAUAUAGGUGCUGCACAGUCUACCUUGGAGGAGUCAAAUGAACAUCCUAUACAGUGGUACCUCGGGUUAAGUACUUAAUUCGUUCCAGAGGUCCAUUCUUAACCUGAAACUGUUCUUAACCUGAAACACCACUUUAGCUAAUGUGGCCUCCUGCUGCCGCCACGCCGCUGGAGCACGAUUUCUGUUCUCAUCCUGAAGCAAAGUUAUUAACCCAAGGUACUGUUUCUGGGUCAGCGGAGUCUGUAACCUGAAGCGUAUGUUACCUGAGGUACCACUGUAUGUGUAAAUGAACUGUAAAAUACAGGGACCACAGUCACUGCUGUGCCUCAUUCACAAAAGGAAACACCAACCCUGGGUGGGUGCCUGGAACCCCAGAAUCUCGCAUUGCUCAGAGAUUGGGGUGGUGUGCAACAAUACUUUUGGUCCGUCUGGGGUACACUGCAUAGCACGCAUAACAGAUCCAGACGCUAUAAUGCUUAUGGCAGCAGCAGCAGCAGUACUUGUAUAACUGAUUUUUCCCAUGAAGAUAUGUUGAUAAUUAUGGGUAAGAGGAGAUAAAGGAACCUUCUUAUUUAGCUAAUGGGGCCUCCUGCUGCCGCCGCGCCGCCGGAGCACGAUUUCUGUUCACAUCCUGAAGCAAAGUUCUUAACCCGAGGUACUGUUUCUGGGUUAGCGAAGUCUGUAACCUGAAGCGUAUGUAACCUGAAGCGUCUGUAACCCGAGGUACCACUGUAGUCACUGUCUAGAUGCUCUGCUUACCUACAAUGAAUGAGUCAUAGGGGAAGGAGACAACAGAAAGUACAGGAAGAAUGCUGUGGUCACAGUGGAUACUGUAGUAGUGUUACUGACUCAGUACUCAUACUGCACAUGACUUCUGGCAUUACAGUGAUAACUUCCUUGCAUGCCCCCAAAGCCAGGACGUUCCCAUGCUCCCAAGUAAAUAAUGCCUCCUACGGUUGUAGUGGGAUAAUACACUGUUCUGACCUUUGAGCUCUAAUGCAUCACCAGCUGUAAAACACAGGAUGACUUAUUAAUGUACCAUUUUAUUUAUUUUUCAGAAUCACACAUUUUAAAAAAUAUUCAAUUUCCAGGGCUCAUCGAAUUGGAACCGAACCAACACAGCUACUUUACAGGUAGAAUGCAAUUGUAUUUCUGGCUCCAGAUAACCAAUAACAAACAACGUGUAUUAAUAAAUUAUGUUGUAAUCACAUUUUUUUUUUUUGGUAGGAACAUUAACCAAUAUAACUUUAAAGCAUACUGGGGAGGGGAGUAGCAUUUUCUAGUACUGAAGUCACCAAUUAAAACCACAGUGCUUGGAAUUUGUGUAGCCGUGUGACAUUGCCAAGCUCAACUCUCCAUAAAUGGGUAGUUAAAAAAACACAACCACCCAGUCAUCACUUCACUAUAUUGGCAUUGGCAGGCCAUUCAAGGUGUUGUUUUUCACCUUUACAUCUCAAGCCCCCUAUAUUUAAACAUGUCCCCCGUAAGAACUACCCCCUUCUAUUAAGAACAGCUGGAAAAACCUUUCCCAGGUUGCCUUAUGAUGCACUCCUCCCUUGUGGGUGCCAACUAUCUGGAAUUCCCUUCAUAGAGAUAUUACUCUCUAAAAAAUGCUAAAACCUUCAAUGUUUACUGCAUACAAAUCCAAAUACUGUACAUUUGAAGUCCACCACUACUUCUUCAGGUAGGAAAAAAAAAAGCAAAAUUAAAGAUUGUGUUUUAGGUCUUUCUCUUUUUUAAACAAGCGGCAUGGAAUUCUAACAGAACCGUUAUAAUUUCAACUUAAUUCUGCCAAUGGAAAGUAUUUCUAUUUAACUGUACCUCUGGAUUCUCCAGCCCCAUUUUAGAGUUAGUCACAUUUAUUUAAAAUAUUUUAAUAAGCGGCCUUAGGAUGGGGCACAACGGCACAAUAUAAAACCACUACAAAACAAUAUGCCAUAAUUCAGUAUUCUAGGAUUCUAUCAAAAGGCAGAUAAUUCACAGUCAAAACAAAUAACCAGGUCUAUCAGCACUAAUACUCCGUAGGCCUUCGAUUAAGCAUUCCUCCUCUACUUCGACCAUGCUGCCUCCUUUGUACCUGGGGUUAUUGGUGCCACCCUCACAAUUUUCUAAUUGUUCUGUACUCCAGCUUUCAACUGUCUGGCAAAACUACAAUGCUUUGCCAUUCCAAAAUACAGUGGUACCUAGAGUUACAAACGCCUCAGGUUACAAACGCUUCAGGUUACAAACUCCGCUAACCUGGAAGAGUUACCCCGAAUUGAGAACUUUGCCCCAGGAUGAGAACGGAAAUUGUGUGCCGGCAGCGCAGCGGCAGCAAGAGGCCCCAUUAGCAAAAGCACGCUUCUAGUUAAGAACAGUUUCAGGUUAAGAACGGACUUUCGGAACAAAUUAAGUUCGUAAGUAGAGGUACCACUGUACAACCGAGCCUUUUAUAAUGCAUGUUUGUAAAUGAGGCAAGAACUGCCAUGGCGAUAUAUUAUACCAAGAUGUUGUUUUGACUAUUUUUCUUAAAGCUGCCUCAAGCCUAUUUUGAGGAGACAGCACAGAAAUAUGGCGGGGCCUGCCAAAUAUAUGUUGCAAUAUGUUGCUUCCUCUGACUGAUCCUGUUCCUCAUCAUCCUGGAAAAAAAGAGAUAAGUGGGGUGCCGCAGGGUUCUGUCCUGGGCCUGUUGUUGUUGUUCAACAUCUUUAUAAAACGAUUUGGACGAAGGCAUUGAAGGAAUGUUCAUCAAAUUUGCAGACGACACCAUGGACGCUUUAGCUGAGAUUCCUACAUUGCAGAGGGUUAGACUAGAUGACCCUUGGGUCCCUUCCAACUCUACAAUUCUAUGAUACUAAAGUGUGGCCUUUAGCCUUCUGACAUUGCCGAACUACAACUUCCAGCCACUGGGUUCCUCACUCCUGCCAGAUACCCUGGAAGCUCACAGCUUCUUAUCAGCCUCCUUCUGAGUUUUUCUGUUAGUUUGUAAAGUCAUAUACUUCUGCAUAUCUAGCACACUCCAACAAUGUGCAAACUACUACUUUGUUUUUGGGUGGCCCUGUUCUGUUCCUAAACCAGUAGAUACUUGACCACCGAAUUCACAAUUGGGAGAGAACGAUACAUCAGUAAACAACAGGUAAAGAAGACAGUUGGCAUAAUCACAUUUCAAAUACUUACUAUUGCAAGAGGUUCAUUAGCUAGCUGAAGAGGAGACCUGAACUUCUGGCUGGGACAAGAGAGUCAAGUUAAAAUGCUGAAGCAUAUAUAUCCAAUAUACAACAUCUACAUAAAACUGCUAAGUGGUGUCACCUGGAGUUUUGGAGCAUGUUAUCAGCAAUAUGCUGAUGACACACAGCUGUUCCUUCUCCUUUACAUCUACAGGUGUGGCCAUCAGUGGAAAUGCUGAAACCAUGUCUUUCCUCGAUAGUGGACUUUAUGAGAGCCAAUAAACUGAAGCUCAAUCCAGACAAGACUGAGGCACUGUAAGUGGGUGGAUCCCUAGACUGGAUGUGUAGGAAGUGCCCCGCUCUGAAUGGGGUUAUACUUCCUCUCUAGUAGCAAGUGUGCAGUUUGGGUGUACUGCUGGAUCCAUUACUGUCAUCUGAGGCUCAAGCGGCUUCCAUGAUGCAAAAGCCCUGCAUCUGCUUUAGCUGGUGGAAGCAGGUGGUGCUGUGGUUUAAACCACAGAGCCUAGGGCUUGCUGAUCAGAAGGUCGGUGGUUUGAAUCCCCACAACGGGGUGAGCUCCCGUUGUUCAGUCCCUGCUCCUGCCAACCAAGCAGUUCGAAAGCACCUUCUUCUGGCGGGAAGGUAAAUGGCGUUUCCGUGCACUGCUCUGGUUCGCCAGAAGCGGCUUAGUCAUGUUGGCCACAUGACCCAGAAGCUGUACGCUGGCUCCCUCGGCCAGUAAAGCGAAAUGAGCGCCGCAACCCCAGAGUCGUCCGUGACUGGACCUAACGGUCAGGGGUCCCUUUAACUAAUCUGCACACUCAUCUGGACAGGGGAGGCCCAACCUCUGUUGUCAUGUGUUAUACAUUGGGCCAACUUUGAUGAUGGUUCAGAAACUGCAGGUGGUGCAGCAUUUGACAGACUGAGGACAAUGCAAGACGGUCCAAGCAUAGAAAACCAAUUCUGGUAAGACUGUAUUGCCUACCAAUUAGUUUCCGGGCUCAAUUCAAAGGGCUGGUUUUGAUUUAAAAGUGUUAGGUGGCUCAGGGCCCCGAUACCUCAAGGACCACCUGUCCCCACAUAAACCAAUCCAGAUCCUGCAUUCUGUGUGCCCUCUCCAAACUCUAUCCAGAAGUGGCAACACAAGAACACAACUUUUUCAAUGGUGGCUCCCUGCUUACGGAAUGCUCUCCCCAGGGAAGGAUGCCUGGCACCAUCGCUGGCUAUUUUCAGGUGCCAGAGAAAAAUGUUUCUUUUCAGCCAGGCUUUUCACCUUUAACUUGAGAAGUUUAUACACUACAGCCUCUUUCAAUGGGUUCUUAUAUAUGUGUGCAUGUUUAGCUUUUAC
rnacentral:lncRNA from 1 species